rnacentral:rRNA from 1 species
ACGGAAGGCAGCAGUGGGGAAUAUUGCACAAUGGGGGAAACCCUGAUGCAGCGACGCCGCGUGAGUGAAGAAGUAUUUCGGUAUGUAAAGCUCUAUCAGCAGGAAAGAAAAUGACGGUACCUGACUAAGAAGCCCCGGCUAACUACGUGCCAGCAGCCGCGGUAAUACGUAGGGGGCAAGCGUUAUCCGGAUUUACCGGGUGUAAAGGGAGCGUAGACGGCUUUGCAAGUCUGAAGUGAAAGCCCGGGGCUCAACCCCGGAACUGCUUUGGAAACUGUAGAGCUAGAGUGCAGGAGAGGUAAGUGGAAUUCCUAGUGUAGCGGUGAAAUGCGUAGAUAUUAGGAGGAACACCAGUGGCGAAGGCGGCUUACUGGACUGUAACUGACGUUGAGGCUCGAAGGCGUGGGGAGCAAACAGGAUUAGAUACCCUGGUA